rnacentral:lncRNA from 12 species
AGGAGCUCAGUAAAUACUUGAACGAAUGGCCUCUGGCCAGCACUGGGCAUCCUGAGACAAGCCUGUGCUCUGGGCACUCAAAUGGGUGGUGUGUGACUGAAGAGGUGACAAGAUGGCCUUUCUACAGGGAGGUGGGCUGACUGGUGCCCAGAUAGGGGAGGACCAGGUGUCUGCACCCCGACAGACUCACCCCAAGGGCCAGUGUCUGUGCCACAAACAGAAGGUCUCAGGGGCCAAAGCCGUGAAGCCACAGACCGCCCUGUGCUUCAGGGUCAUCCGGGCACUGUGCCUCCUCUGUGCUUUGGCUCCAUUUGGGGUCUUGGCGUGGGCAACAAUCUGGCAUUCCCCGCUGACUUCCCACUGGCUGGUGUCAGGGGUGGAGCAGAGGUGUUGACUGUCCCCGGGGAGGAGUCCCCCCCCCCCCCCCCUGCCCAGCUCAGCCCUGAAGCAUUGCAGCUGGGUGCCAGGCUGUGAUUACAGGCCCAGGCCAGGUCAGGCCAGCGUGCUCCCUACGACCAAGAUUGUCCCAGCCCGUGCUCUUGAAUCCUCUGGUGUGCUGACCUCUUCCCUACAGUUCCUGAGGUCAUUUUGUGCACAGCAAGAAUGACACCCCAAUGAGCACUGAAGACUGUUCUGAAGGAGUGACUCCUUUUUGUGGGCCAGGUGGGGACCAGCGCAGCGGACAGCACUUUGGGCCAGUGGCCCUGCUGACACGGAGCUGCAGGCAAAGGCAGACUUCGGAGGUGUGUCUGGACCCACCCUGUGGGGGAUGAUGGGGACCUCAAGUCUGAGGGCCAGGCAAAGCCCCCAGGGAGUAUCAGCUUUCCUGACUGAGUUGCCCUAGUCCAUCAGAUGCAAAUCGGUUUUCAUAAAACCCAAGGAGACAUCUGCUGAGAAAAAUUAAGUUAAUGACCACUACAAUGUUUCUCUGGAGAACUCCAUGCACAUUCUGGCCUCCUCUCUCCCCUCUGGCUGCACAGAGGGCUUGGGAUGUCCGAGGAUACCAUCUUGAGGCGCUCCAGGCAGCCCUGCUUCAGGACCUCUCUGGAAACAUUCUGGAAGACCCUGUCCUUCCUGCACUGCCACAGACCACUGCUUAGAAUGGGCAGCUUGAUGGGUCCAGCAUAUCCGCCAGGUGAGCCAGGUGGCAGCCCGGGCAGUAGUCUCAGGGUUCGUGGGGCCGACAGUGGGUGCAUUGCUGCAGCACCUCCACAAUGCUGGGUAGUCGGCAGAGGUGCCAGCAGGAGGUGGCCUGGAGAGGCCUGCCCCCAGAAAGCAGGAGAGGGAGGAAGAGAGUUAGCAGGCACAGGGCAGCCAGGGCUUGUUCCCUAGUACAUCUGACAUGUCCCCAGGGAACUGAACGGGUUUCUGCAGGCGGCUGGUAUCUGAGCAUAACAGAUGGGACAGGAGGAGCUAGCAGAGCUGGGCUUUUCUUGGCAAAGUGAUCCACUGGCCCCUGACGUUGGGUACGUGUGUGAUGCUGGGGCUGGGUGGGAGAGCACAGCAUGCAGCUCUCUCUCUCAGCUCCCACUCCUCCCCCAGGGAGGACUUAUCACAGCCUGGACACACAGCAGGAGAGGGCUUGGCCAAAUCCUUCCCUUUGUGCAGGGCUGGUGGGGGUGGUCAUGUAAGGUCCUAGGUGGUACCUUGAGACUGGGAGAAUUUUCUCCCCUCUCCAUAUGCUUUCAUUUCAUUUAAGCAGUUUCUCAGAAGUAGAAUUUCUGAGUAAUACAAAACAUGUAUGUUUAACUUGAUAAGAAACUAGCCAACUGCUUUCCAGAGUAGUUGUACUGUUUCACACUCCCAAGGAGGAGAAUUCAAAUAGCUUCCCAUACUCAUGGACACUUUGUACGGUCUUCAAAAUUAUAGCCAUUCUAGUGCAUAGAGUGGUAACAUCAUAGAUUCAGUCUGUAUUUCCCUGGUGAUUAGUACUUCAAGCAUCCUUUUGAGUGCACAUGGGCCGUUUGUAACCUUUUGUGAACUGUCUUUUCAAAGCCCUGUCCCAUUUUUUUUCCUGUCCCAUAUUGUUAUUUAGUUCUUUGUCCUAAGACUGAAUUAUGAGGGAUAUCCCUGGGUGGCUCAGCAGUUUAGCCCCUGCCUUCGGCCCAGGGUGUGAUCCUGGAGUCCAUCGGGCUCCUUGCAUGGAGCCUGCUUCUCUCUCUGCCUCUCUCUGUGUGUCUCUCAUGAAUAAAUAAAUUAAAUCUCAAAAAAAAAAAAAAGGC